GACGAACGCUGGCGGCGUGCCUAAUACAUGCAAGUCGAACGCAGUGGGGACGGGUGAGUAACACGUGGGUAACCUCCCAUCAGAGGGGAUAACACUUGGACACAGGUGCUAAACCGAUACUGAUGGAUGGACCCGCGGGGCAUUAGCUAGUUGGUGAGGUAACGGCUCACCAAGGCCACGAUGCAUAGGCGACCGGCUGGGGUGAUGAGCCACACCGGGACGAAGAAACGGCCCUGACUCGUACGCAGGGCAGCAGUAGUAAAACAUAGACAAUGUGCGAAAAUCGGACAGAGCAACGACGCGUAAAUGAAGAGGGUUUUAGGAUCGUAAAAGUCUGAUAUUAGAAAAGCGGUAUCUAACCAAGAAGCCACGGCAAACGAAGUGCCAGCAGCCGCGGUAAUAC
rnacentral:rRNA from 1 species